rfam:Aedes aegypti strain Liverpool supercont1.264 genomic scaffold, whole genome shotgun sequence.
GGCUCGGUAGCUUAGUUGGUAAAGCGUUCGUCUAGCAUACAAGAGUCCUGGGUUCAAAUCCCAGCCGAGCAC